UGCGUAACGCGUAUGCAACCUACCAUCAACAGGGGGAUAACACUGAGAAAUUGGUACUAAUACCCCAUAAUAUCUCAUGCGGCAUCGCAUGGGGUUGAAAACUCCGGUGGUUGAUGAUGGGCAUGCGUUGUAUUAGCUGGUUGGUGAGGUAACGGCUCACCAAGGCGACGAUACAUAGGGGGACUGAGAGGUUAACCCCCCACAUUGGACUGAGACACGGCCAAACUCCUACGGAAGGCAGCAG
rnacentral:rRNA from 1 species